AACCAUUCUCACCUGCGGCUAGACCUGCGGAAGGAUCAUUACCAGAGAGCCUUUUGGCACUCCAACCCAUUGUGAACAUACCUAUCGUUCCCUCGGCGGGCUCAGCGCGCGGGGCCUCCGGGCUUCCGGGCGUCCGCCGGGGACAACCAAACCCUGAUUUACUACGUGUAUCUCUGAGGGGCGAAAGCCCGAAAACAAAAUAAAUCAAAACUUUUAACAACGGAUCUCAGAUCGGAAGAG
rnacentral:misc_RNA from 1 species